CACACACACACACACACACACACACACACACACACACACACACAACUGUAAUGGAAAGAGAAAACAGAAGCAGUGGUGCUGGGUUCAGAGGACGCUGCAGGCGAUUAGAUCGAGAGCCUGAAUUGCCUGCCAUCCUAUGUCUCCUUGCCAUCAACUCCAUAGCCUUACAACCUCUUCUUCCGUAACUCCCACCAAAGUUGCAAUAGCAUCUCAGCAAACUGAAUGCAGUCCCAGGGCUGGCUGAAAAGCCCAGGACUGAACUGCCAUCACAGGAACAAGCCUGGGCCAACCUUCUGUAGGGUGAAUGACCACAGGGAGCAAAGUUGGGCUCUCCCAUUAAUGGCAUUGCGGACCAGCCAGCCAGUCUACUAUUUGACUUAGACAUGUGAGUGAGCUGGCCAAGAUGGGCCUGACUCACGUCAGCAGAACCUCUUGGGAAACUGGGGAUCCAGGAGACAGGAUAAACAUUUAUGGACUUGAGCCAUUUGGCGUUGCAGUGGCUUGUCUGCAGUAUUAGCUCACAGACAUUGAACACUGCCUAGAACAAGAAUCACCCUCAGUGGGGCUGGGGAUUUAGCUCAGUGGUAGAGCGCUUACCUAGGAAGCGCAAGGCCCUGGGUUCGGUCCCCAGCUCUGAAAAAAAGAACCAAAAAAAAAAAAAAAAGAAUCACCCUCAGUAAGUGAAGGUCAAACUGGUUCCAAAGUCCAGCUCUAAAGGCUUCGCCCACUAUACUUACCGGUCACCUUCAGUUUACAGUAACACAGGGGUUGUACAAACAGUAGGAACAAGAGUGUUGCCUGUGUAUGCAUAUGCACAUUUGUGUGUACACGUGUGUGUGUGUGUGUGUGUGUGUGUGUGUGCGCGUGCAUAUACGUAUGAGGUAGCCUUCUCCUCUGUUCCUGGUAAUGGAGGAAUUCACCCGUACCCCUAGCCAUCCUUCCCUCAGACUGCACUCCUGUUACACAAGUAGGUCCUGCAGUGCCAACCUUGGUUUCCAGUUUGUGUUUCUGUUGCUUUUGUCAUUCGAGCUCUGCCUUGCUGAUAGGACGGAAAGAUGACUUGUCAACGUGCUGCCAUUUUCUCCUGAAGCUUGGCACUCUCCUGCCUCUUUAGGAGAGUUCGAUUCUGCAAAGCACAGAGUUGCUAAGACAAUGGCCGCCUUAACACCUGUGGAAAUGGUUCCAGGGAGAGUGCACAAAUCAUAUUACCACUUGGCUAGGUGCACCAGGAUCCAAAAUGGUUAGUGUGUUAUUCCAGAUGGCCCCUCUUACCCAAAGAGAAUCCUGAGGUUGCUGUCCAUCCCCUGCCAAAACCCAUUAUCUAUGCAUCGGAGGGCAGGGAAGCUAGGAGAGGAUUUGGAAAGCUUGUGAAUUGGGUGCCCAGUUUUCCAGAGGGCUAAGGAGAGUCCCACCCCCCUAACCUUCCAGCAGGGUCGGAAGGAAGCAGAUGAGAUCUUGAUAGGUUACAAAGAGGGAGGUCUGCGAUUAGAACCUCUUGUGGUAUUCUGCUCAGAGAGGAAGGCCCACGUAGCACUGGGCUUCUCCUUUAUUGUUCUCCCAACGAGCCAUGAAGUCCCAGGCCACAUCAUUCAUGCAACCCAAUCCUACUGGGACCUGGAGAUGGUCAAUCUGUGGGAAGUCCAUCUGCAGUUCCUGCUCUGGCCACCAGGGUUUGUGAAGAGACUUAAAAAUAUGCCUGGUUUGAGAGACCCUUUGUAGCAAAUGGCUAACAAGGGAAUAACCAUCAGUAAACAGGAGAGGACCCUAAACGUUGGACCUAUUAGGGAUCAUAGGCCUGCUCUCUGUGCUGCAUGUAGACGUGGAAGUUCAUCCAAACUCGUCUUGCUCUCCAACUUCCUCAGCCCCAGGAUCCCUUCCUCCUGUCCUUCUAGGGCUGCCUCCUGAUUCUAGAGUCUGUUUCAUACUGACCCACAUCACAUUACUUCCUGGUUCCUCCUAAGGCCACACCCCCAGACCUUCUAGCUCCUCCCACUACUCUCCACCAAUCCUCUCUGAGGAAGCUUCCAGUUCCACCUCUCUACCCUGGCAAGAACCCUGGGAUGCCAGGGUUCCUGUGCUUGCCUGUCUCUGGGUCCUUCCAACACCCUCUUUCAGUCCCUUGACUGCAGCUGUCACACCGCAUGCCCUUUAGAAGUUUCUGAGCUAGACUUACAGCCUAGUGCCCCUGCAGCUGGUGCAGUGCGGAUGGCGAAGUAAGUUUGGGCAGGGUGUGGAGGAACCAGAGGUAAAUUCGUACGUCUCCCCGCAAGUGUGUUUCAUCUCCCAGUCUGGGGUUUGAACACUCUGCGGUGGUGAGAGAGGUAUGUGUUUCAGAGGUGGCUUUGUUGGGACCUGUGUCUUGUCUAGGACAGUGGGGGCACUGUAGGAUCUCUGCAGGCCUCCUCCAGAAGACACAAGAAAUUAAAACAGGCUCAGGGCAAGGUGGCUUUGAAAAUAGCUGGACAGAGGCCUUAAUCUCCUUGCUGAAGGUCAAGGUUGCCCUGGCAACCUUUCCUUUUCCUCACUGAUCCGAUGGCUGAGGAUGGUAGCUGAUAUUCUUUCUUGCUGCUUCUACCUGUCCAGAAGCGGAUGGUGUUGGCUCCUCCUACCAUCAUUGCACACCCAUGCGAGUCCUUUCUCCAAAUACCGUGGUGGUCUCCAGUAUUUGAGGGCAAUGAAAUCUUGUUCACAGGUGACCAAAGGUAACAGCUGCUGGAGGGUAGGGGACAAGUAGUGACUAUUCCCACACUUAUGGGGCACGGAGAGCCUCUAUGAUCACCCUGUUUUACUACAUUCUCCUUCCUGUGGUUUGCUUUAGUGCCUCAAGGUUCUGUUGAGUCGUGAACUAAGCUGUGUCCUUAUCUUGGUUUCUGACCCUGAGAUGUGGGGUCCCUAGGGACAUAUCUCUGCCCCCUUCUAAUCUGUAUCCUUCACUGCUCCAAGGCCACAGCUCCAGAAACCCCACUUCUGAGCCAUACCAGCUCACACCAGGACCUCACUUCCUAGUUUCCCCAGGGCGCUCUCUCAAGCACUCCUGCUUUGGGACAAAGAGUCAGAGCUUCCUAGAGUCCAGCCAAGCCCAGGACAGCAGAGGCAGGUGGCAGUUGUCCUCCUGCCUCAAACAAAAGCAAUCAAGCCAUCAUCCUGAUUUCUUUUUAAAUCAAUUCCCAUGACAAAUGUGUCUGUGAAAGAGGGCUGGCUGCCUCCGGGCGUUCACCGCUUCAAUGAGGACAACAGAAGGAGCAGGAUUCAUAAAACUAUAAUGUGUUAUUUGAACAGAUUUCCCGGUAACCUGACCCUGUAGUCUUAGAAUCGGCUCAGCCUUCACCAGGUCCAGAUGGAGCCUCUCUGUAGCCUCCUCAGGGGACAGGAGCAGCUCUGUGUGCCUGAUUGACCAGGGGACACUUGUAUGGAGGGGAUCAGAGUGGUUGGGAGCAGCGGACAGGGGUUCUGGGUGCUUCCUCUAGCACUGGGAGACCCGGCUUGUCUGAUCAGGUUUUCUUGCUCAUGUGUUGAGCCUGUGACCGAUCUCCCUCUGUGACAAGAGUAUACACGAUGAACAUAAACCUUAACACACCAUGGGAGCUGUAUGUGAACUGUGCCAGGCUCCUGUGGGAGCACAGUGAGGCAGGCUGGGAGCUGUCACCAGUCUGUCCUAAAGAGAAUCAGAGCCAAAUGAAGCUAGCCACACUUUAGACUUGACCUCCAAUGAGGUCACCAGGCAAACGGCUGGAAUGGUCCAGACAAUGGGAAAUUCCAAGAAGUGUAAGCACCCAAGACCCAAGAGUUAAUGGAAGCCUAGCACUAGGCAGGCGAACCUGAGCUGUGACUGUCAAGACCAGCGGUCACUUUGGGCUCAGGCGGAUAAUGCAUGGGAAUACAAACCCAGGGGGACUGGCCCCUAAUGGCCAUUGUAGACUUUGUCCUUUCAGUGCCCAGCAGCGACCAUGUGCUGGGGCUCUGCUGCCCACACUGGAAGAAGCAAAGAAAGCAGCUGAAAUGCCAAGAACAGUCUGUCUCUACUGAGGCUCACCUUAAGGAGAAGGUAAACGACCAUGGCUGAUCCUGCUGGGAUUCGUCAGAGGGGUGGAAAUAGCCAACACCAGACAGACCCUUCUAGUCUUCCACCCAAUGAACUGAAGACCUGAGGGCCAUUGUGCACUUUACAGCUUGGGCCCAGGGGUUUGUGCAGAGGCUGAGACCCAGUCCUCAGGCUAUGGGAUAUUUCCCUCCCCACUUCCAAAUUAUGCUACUGAAGGUGUGCGCAGGGACAAGUGUCUACACACCAUACUCUGAAUCUCCCCAGGACCCAGACAGAGGAUGUCACUUGAGUUGUAUGAAGGAAGUGGGGCUCAGAGGGACAGGAGACCAGGAGGGAACCCUGUAAAUAGCAAACCAGGAGCUAGGACCCAGAUUAGGUGUCCUUGCCCAUCGAGCAAGCAGCAGCGGGCGUCUCCCAACCUCUUCCAUCAGCACCAAGUCUCUUUCCGUAGAGAGUCCUCAGUGUGAAACCAGGAGUAACCCAGAGCUAUGCAGGUGACCUCAAAUAGCUUCUUCCAGCUUGUCUCAAGGAGGCCUCCAGGGGUGACUCUAGCAGGUUUGGGUCCCGCUGAGCUUCUCUGUGUCACACCUGUCCCAGUCCCCUUCAGAGGAGCUAGGGAAGCUGCUGUUGAUGUCCAGUGACAACUCCAGGCUCCUGGCGGGGCUCAGGGCCAACCUGUCUCCACGAUGAGAGGCUGUGCCCUUUGCUGACUGCUUCAAGAGCAAUCUGUGCUGCUUGGCAGAGGCGAACAGACAAACCUUGACUUCCUCUGCCCUUAACUAGGGUAAGCAUAAAGAGAUAGAACAGGGACUCAACAAUCAGGCUCUGAUAUCGGACCAUCUGGGUUCUAGUCUCGCCUGUGGCUGCAUGACCUUAAGAAAGCUCCCCAGUCUUGGAUUUUCCUUAUUAAAAGCAUAUGAUAAUCAAAGCCAGAUUAUGACUGCUUCAGGGGAUGAAGAGGAUACAACAAUACACUAGGUCUUAGCUCCCAGUAGAAGAAGAUGAUAAACUGUUAUUAGUAUUAGGAUAUUCCCCUCUGAGGCAUCUGUAAAGGGACAGAAGAGUCCACCAUAAUGCAAGCUUCGGUGACCAUAAGUCAGUUGUUAUCUGGCUGGGAAAAGGAGGCGGCUACCCAAGCCCAUCUUGGGUGGAAGGUUACCAAAAAGGCUUCCAGAGAGCCAGGGAGGGCUUAGCCCUCAGGAGGCUCCACCCCGUUACAUCAGGAUAUUAUUGUUGUAAGUUAGAAAUUACUUGACCGUCAGGAUGAGCCAUCUGAAUUGAGAGCUUUAUUUUCCUCACUUUGGUCCGGCUUGACCAUCUCUCUGGGGAAGGCACAUGAGUGACAAGCUAUAAUUAAAGCCUCAGUGUUGUUCUCGAUGGAGAGGAACGAGUCUGUGGUCAAGCACGCAGAUGAGGACCGUCUGCAGGCCCCUUCUCCUUGUUGCUCUGUCUGCUAAAACGGGCGACCCCUCUUCUUAAGACCCUUACUGGCCCGUCUCCAGCCCAUCUGGCAGGUUUUGAGCUCUGGGAAUUCUUUGCACAGAGAGUCCUGGGGGGUGUCUGUCUGGAGACAAUGGGUUUGAGUGACGGUACCCAGGAAGCCCUGCAGUCUAUAGUAGGGAUGGGAUUGCUCUCCCAGGUUAUAUCUCCCUGGUCCCAUCUGUACUAGGUGCCCUGGUGCCCUGCUACAUUACGGCAAGCCUGGGAAUGUGCGAAGGAGGUACUGCUUGGCGGAGGAGAGGUUUCUCCCUACUAGAAGCUAUUGUUAGCUCAUGCCAUCCUACUGGCCUGACGUUGCUGCCCAUGUACCCAGCCUUUUCUAAGGGGAGAGGGUGUUUUCCCCUCUCUGGGGUCUCAUUCUUUCAUUUGAUCAGCAAAUAUUUAUUGAGGACUUGCACUGUGCCUUAGAAACAGAGACAAGCAGGCAGGCUUGCCCCUGGCUCAGAGAGGAGAGUUAGGUACCAAGGGACUGAGAGGACACCUCCAAGUCACACUGAGGACAGCUCCAAGCCACAGGGAAGUCUCAGGCAGUGCAGUCCCCCCUUCCCCCCCCAAGUGUGCUGGGAGAAGGGAGCAAAGCGGCAUCCACUUCCAGGCCAGGGCCCCAAAUUUCCUUCUCCCAGUCUCUAGCCUAUGUCACUGUCCUAGGCCAGUGGGCCACAGUGUUAUGUAUGUGAUCUUUUCCAGACCAUCUGGAUGGCCUUGAUCCUUCUAGCCAUUCCUUAGCAAGUAUACAGGAAGGGACACCGUAAGCUAACUGCUUCCUGCAUACCUGUUUCUUUGUUGUGUAAGAAGAAACUCACAGGCCCUCUUGCCAUCUACAGCAUCCUCAGGAAGCCAGGGUUCUCCACAAGCGGGAUCAGUCGUUUAAUUUCUUAUUUUUUUCUCCUAAACCAGCUUUCUGAUUGAAUCCUUGGACCUGUCGGGUUGGUCCCCAAUCACUCUCUAGAGAGUAACCUCUGAGGUGCGUGUGGGAGCUCAUACCUGCAAACCUCCCCCCCUUCUCCACGCCAGCAAGCUGGGGCAGGCAGCUUGUCAUACGUUUCAGGCCAAUCUGGGUUACAGAGGGAGACUCUGCCUUGAAGCAAAAGCAACAAAGCGAGGAAUGUCUUCAGGCAGUACCCCUCACUUGUCUGUGAUCACUUUUGGUGUGAGGGAGAGUAUGGGGCAUUCGUUGCCUGGCUUUCUCUCUGAGGAACUGGCAGUAACUGGGUCACCUUGCCUGUCAAGAAGCAUCCCUCACUGCGGACCCCACUCUCCCUGGACUCCUGCAAACUUUCCAGGGCUGUUCUAACAAGAUAUCAUCAACAACAUGCCUGGGAAUAGAGAUGAUUUCGGGUGCUGGUUUUGGUUUUACCUUCGCUAAAGUGGAGAGAAGAUUCGCACAUGUGCCUGCCUAUUCCACCAGGCCACUGAACCCCACAGACAAGGGACCAGCGGGGCCACACUCCAUCCGAAAGCUAUCAGGAGACCUCACCUUCAAUAACUCCCAGAGUUCACUGACUCCUUAUUAUAGCAUAGUGAGCUGUGAGGAGAACGCUCUCUCACUUCUGCCGGUGUCUGGGGGCUUACUGGCCACCCGUGGUAUGCUUCCAUGUUUCUCACUUGUAGAAGUGGCAUUUCAGAUUGUUGUCAUUGUCAUGUACUGUUCUGCUGGCCUCUGUCCAUCUCAAUGUCUAUUCUGAGGACACCAGUCACACGGAUACAGAUCUGCCCGCUCCAGCAUGAAUGACCUCAUCAGAAACACAGUGGCAACAACUUUAUCUCCAAAUAAAGUCAUGUCACGAGACACUGGGGUGAGGGUUUGAAAAGAUCACCUUGGGGGACACAUUUCAAACCUGAUCUACAGUUGCUGAAAACCCCUGUCCCCUCAAAGGCUAUAGCAAUGGCUAGUGUCAACACUGCCAGCCAAUUGCAAGAUGCCACAGGGAAGGGUUGUGUUGGCAUCAUUGUCCUUUGAUCUGAGAGCCGAAACAAAAUGCAGUACACGUUCAGUAAAUGCUUCUUGACGCUGUUGGUGACAGUGUCUUGCUUGUCCUGGCUCAGUCUCAAGAUCUAGCCACAAAGCUGCUCCUCAGCACACGGUCUACCCAGGGCCAGUUUCUCAGGGUCCUUGUGGUCUGGUCUUCAGUUGAACCCUGACAUCACCGACUCCUUCAUCAUCAGUCCUGGGAGAGGUCAGCCCCCCGACCCUCAAUGAGACCCUUACUUUCAGUGUGACAGCUAUUUUACCCGGCAGUAGGCAAACAGAGAUAUUUUAAGAUGAGUGUGUCAGCUGGGGUCAGUUUCCGCUUGGCUAUCGCUGGUGCUGUCAGGAGGAGAGCGGGUUUGGCUGUCCGGAGGGAACCCAUCAAUCACUCCUGACAGCCCUUAAUCAGACAAAGGAGCCCUCACCACCGUGUUACAGAGAGGGAGAGACUAUAGUAUUGUUCAAGCUCAACAAAGAAUUUUGGACAGGAAUUUUAAGUUGUAAAUACAAUCUCUCUGUCUUCCAAGCAUUUAGAUCCCUAAAGCCUCAGGUCCUCUCAGGUCUGAGGACCUUCUACUCUUUAUUCUAGGAAACUGGCCUCUUUAUUCAAAGACAGACAGACAGAUGCACGCACGCACACACACACACACACACACACACACACACACACACAACAUUCACUGGUCUCCUCUGAUAUACUAGGUGCUUUGGGCAGUGUAUCAAGAAGCCUGUGGUCUUGGGCCAGCAAGAUGGCUAAGUGGGUAAAGGUGCUUGCCACCAAGUCCAACAACUUAAGUUCAAUUCCCAGCUUACACACGAGGAAUGAAAGUUGUCCUCUGACCAUAACACUGAAUCACUGAUGCUGUGGUACAUGCGUACACAUUCAUCUCUCUCUCUCUCUCUCUCUCUCUCUCUCUCUAACACACACACACACACACACACACACACACACACACACAGUGAAUAAUAUAAAUAAAAUUAGGAAAAACACCCAUUAAAAGGAGGCCUAUGGUUCUUAAUGGAAGCAAAAGGCUCAUGAACAAAAAGGCCCCAAGCUACAUGAGCAGCCCUGGCGCUAAGGUAGCUCAGCGUGUUGGGGAAACCCAGAGGGGUCUCAGCCAAACCCACUUGUUUGCACCUUCGUCUGACUGCUUUUAUUCUUGCAGGCCCGGGACAGUGGCAGGCGGCAUGAGACACUGCAUGGCUUGGGGGAACAAAUCUUUUGUUGCAUUAACGCUUUUCAUCCUCCACCUUGAACGAGGCAGAUGCUCCCUGCAGAGCUGUCGACUGAAUAAAGAAAUGAGUUUAAUGAUCA
rnacentral:sRNA from 1 species